rfam:Gossypium hirsutum cultivar TM-1 chromosome 1, whole genome shotgun sequence
AAUUCUAUGGUGAGGGCAUUUUCAUAACAAUUUUUUGAAUCUCUCCCAUGCCUCAUAAAUGGAUUCAUCAUCCAUUUUUUGGAAGGUAUUGAUCUUGUUUCACAACU